rnacentral:siRNA from 1 species
GCUGGUCCUCUCUUAGCCGGCCUG